rnacentral:rRNA from 1 species
UGGGGAAUAUUGCACAAUGGGCGAAAGCCUGAUGCAGCGACGCCGCGUGAGGGAUGACGGCCUUCGGGUUGUAAACCUCUUUCAGUAGGGAAGAAGCCUUUCGGGGUGACGGUACCUGCAGAAGAAGCGCCGGCUAACUACGUGCCAGCAGCCGCGGUAAUACGUAGGGCGCAAGCGUUGUCCGGAAUUAUUGGGCGUAAAGAGCUCGUAGGCGGCUUGUCGCGUCUGCUGUGAAAACGCAAGGCUUAACCUUGCGCCUGCAGUGGGUACGGGCAGGCUAGAGUGCGGUAGGGGAGACUGGAAUUCCUGGUGUAGCGGUGGAAUGCGCAGAUAUCAGGAGGAACACCGGUGGCGAAGGCGGGUCUCUGGGCCGUUACUGACGCUGAGGAGCGAAAGCAUGGGGAGCGAACAGGAUUAGAUACCCUGGUAGUCCAUGCCGUAAACGUUGGGCACUAGGUGUGGGAUCCAUUCCACGGGUUCCGUGCCGCAGCUAACGCAUUAGAGUGCCCCGCCUGGGGAGUACGGCCGCAAGGCUA